UAAUACGGAGGGUGCAAGCGUUAAUCGGAAUUACUGGGCGUAAAGCGCACGCAGGCGGUUUGUUAAGUCAGAUGUGAAAUCCCCGGGCUCAACCUGGGAACUGCAUUUGAAACUGGCAAGCUAGAGUCUCGUAGAGGGGGGUAGAAUUCCAGGUGUAGCGGUGAAAUGCGUAGAGAUCUGGAGGAUACCGGUGGCGAAGGCGGCCCCCUGGACGAAGACUGACGCUCAGGUGCGAAAGCGUGGGGAGCAAACAGGAUUAGAUACCCUGGUAGUCCACGCUGUAAACGAUGUCGAUUUGGAGGUUGUGCCCUUGAGGCGUGGCUUCCGGAGCUAACGCGUUAAAUCGACCGCCUGGGGAGUACGGCCGCAAGGUUA
rnacentral:rRNA from 1 species